rnacentral:rRNA from 1 species
GAUGAACGCUGGCGGCGUGCUUAACACAUGCAAGUCGAACGGAAAGGCCCAAGCUUGCUUGGGUACUCGAGUGGCGAACGGGUGAGUAACACGUGAGUGACCUGCCCUGCACUUCGGGAUAACCCUGGGAAACUGGGUCUAAUACCGGAUAGGACCUCCUUCUGCAUGGUGUGGUGUAAAGUUUUUCGGUGUGGGAUGAGCUCGCGGCCUAUCAGCUUGUUGGUGGGGUAGUGGCCUACUAAGGCGUCUACGGGUAGCCGGCGUGUGAGGGGGUACGGCCACACUGUGAGUGUGAGACAGGCCAGAGUCGUAUAUGAGGCAGCAGUGGGGAAAAUUGGACAAUGGGGGCGAGCGUGAUGUAGCGACGCCGCGUGGGCGAUAAGGGCCUUUGGGUGGUAAAAACCUUUCGCUAGGGAAGAAGCGAUUUUGUGACGGUACCUGGAAAAGAAGCACCGGCUAACUACGUG